rnacentral:rRNA from 1 species
AGGAUGAACGCUGGCGGCGUGCUUAACACAUGCAAGUCGAACGAUGAAGGCUGGAGCCUGCUCUGGCUGGAUUAGUGGCGAACGGGUGAGUAACACGUGAGUAACCUGCCCCAGACUCUGGGAUAAGCGCUGGAAACGGCGUCUAAUACCGGAUACGAGCUUCCACCGCAUGGUGAGG